UAAGAAAGCCAGUGUGAUGUUUAGUGUCUUCUGGAAUUUCCAUGGGGGUAUUCAGAGGGCUGCGUGGUUGCCCUCUGUUCUUUGAAGUUGUGCCCCUUUUAGUGGGACCGUCUCAAUGAGGUGAUCAGAUCAUGUUUCCAGCCUCAGGAGCUGCUACUAAAUUAUUCCGUGGGGAAACUGUUGCUGAAGCAGAAAUGUUCCGUGUGGCUGACGUGGCACGGCAGCUUGCAGUGUCUGCCAGCUGUGAGUAACAGCAGGCUGUCAGGAUGGGAUGUAGCAGAAGCCGCUCCAGCAGCUCCUGAUUUUGGAGCAAAGAUGUAAGUACUUAUUUUCACCGCUAACAACUUCUCCCAAACCAAAGCCAAGCGGAAGAAAACUAAGAGGAAAUGCGAUUUUCACUAGAGACCCUUCUAACAGAUUCAGUUGAAAAGCAUUUAGCUUGAACCAGAGAAGACAGGCGUUCAGGCCAGCACAUGGUUUCAUCAGAACGAAGAACUUGACAGGCUCCCGUUUGAAAAAACAAAAAAAAAAAAAAAAAAAAAAAAAAAAA
rnacentral:lncRNA from 1 species